GUGAGCUGUUUAAUUAUACUCUUAUAUUCAAGUUUUAGUUCAAAAAAAUUUUAAGUAAAAACAAACAAGGUGGAAGAGUUAAUCAACGACUUUGAAAAGACUCUAACCAUGGCUCCCUUACCUGCAGUGGCUUCUAGCAGCCAGAUGGAAUGAAAUCGCGAGAUUAAAGACGCAAUUAAAUCCCAAUAUAAAGAAGGUUGAGGAAUUCAAGGUGGAAGCUGUUGAUCCAAACGUAAGGUGCGAUACUUCUUAUGAAAUCAUUAAGUCGGUUCGAGAAUAUAAUGGUGAAGAAGAUAGUUAUGUAAGCUGGAGAGAAUCGGCGGAAAUAGCAAUGGGACAAUACAAAAGGGGGAGCGAAAAAUACUUUUCGGCACUAUCUAUUCUUCAAAAUAAAAUUACUGGCAUUGCCAAUAAUGUUUUAACUCAUAA